rnacentral:rRNA from 1 species
UACAGAGGGGGCAAGCGUUGUUCGGAAUCACUGGGCUUAAAGGGCGCGUAGGCGGCCCGUCGAGUCGGGGGUGAAAUCCCACGGCCCAACCGUGGAAGGGCCUCCGAUACUGACGGGCUCGAGGGAGGUAGGGGCAGGUGGAACUUCCGGUGGAGCGGUGAAAUGCGUUGAUAUCGGAAGGAACGCCGGUGGCGAAAGCGACCUGCUGGACCUCUUCUGACGCUGAGGCGCGAAAGCCAGGGGAGCGAACGGG